GUCAGGUCUUGGUAGAAGAUUACUUUCAAAACAGUCAGGUCUUGGUAGAAGAUUACUUUCAAAAGAGUCAGGUCUUGGUAAAAGACUACUUUCAAAACAUUCAGGUAUUGGUAGAAGACUACUUUUUAUACUAGUAGGAAAUAUGAGAUUUUCUAGGGUUUUAAUAUUUAUACUGAAUGUUUCAUCAAACAUUCACCAGUCUUUCAUAACAACUUUUCAAAGUAAUAACAUUAAAAUACUUAUGAAUUCACCAGCUUUAUUGCUGAUACUCGCUUUCAAAAUAACUUGUAUUCUCAGGUUACAAAUAGACAGGUACCGAUGCAAGGUUUAGAGAAGACGGAGCAGUCAAGACUCAUUUCUUAUUUUGAGUAUUCAUUAUGUUGUUUUAUACUUUGAAAGAUCACACUUGUAAGCAGAAUUAUUUUAUUAAUGCAAUGGAUGAUGUUGUUGCUUGUUUACUACUUU
rnacentral:lncRNA from 1 species